GACGGGGCCGGGAGCGGUCCCCGCCCCGCUGAAGAGCCUGUAGUUUUUGGGACCACUGCCCAGAGUGAACCCGCCGAGACUCUCUGCUUCCUGAGUUUCCUUUCUGGGGGUUUGGCUGGAGAACAGCCGGAGAACGUUCCCCUACUGCCUGACCAUGGGAAGUCAUAGGAGGAGCACCGAAGCGAGAAUUGAGACAAAGUGCUGCCCACCAUGUCUCUCCACUUCUGAUUAUGGUUGUACAACCAGUUUCAGAAGGCUUCUGUGAGAUAGCGGAAUGUUUCCCGGGAACCUUCCACCAAAGUCAUAUAUCAAGCAUUCGAGUCUAGACCAGUCACUGCCAGAGGGCAGUCCAGUUAAUAAAGAGCAACGGGACUUGACAUCCAGAGAGAAAGAAAUAUGAGGAGCCACACCCCACAAUUUCAUCUUGUA